CCCACGCUGUCCAGCUGCCUCUGCCAGUCCCGAGCCGCCCUUCCCGGCAGCAGGCGUGAUGGGAACCGAACUCUUUUACUUUCAUUCUGCGGGGGAAAGAGGGGAAAAAAAAAGCAAAACUGGGAAUUUCCCCGGCCGUCACCAAGGGUUUAAAAGGCACCGGGAAGCACCGCGCCGGCAGAGCAGGCGGGACGGCGGGGCCGACGGCUCGGAGGCAGCGGGGCAGGCAGAGAGGAUUGGCAGAUCAUCAGUAAAGGCACUUCCUGUGAAGAGAGGAAAUAUUAGUGUUAAGGUGCUGUUGAAAUACAGAUCUGGAGGAAGAUGACUUGAGCAUACUCCAGAAAAAUAAAAGUUGACAAGAACUGAUGCAUAGAGUUGACAUCAAGAGAGCAGAGAUCCUUUGGAGCAAAAGGAAGCAAACUGGCUGAUUAUUGCCUACCAAAGAGGAAGAACAGGAUUUACUCCUGGAGGCAGCCUUGGUGUGAUGCUGUGUGCUGAUGGAGAACUCUGGCAAGAGCAUCUUCCACCUUUGGGUGUGUGGUGCAUGCAGGAGCUAGAGAUGGAACGUGAGUGUCAGAUAGGCAGAGCUGGAAGUGCUGGGCAGGGAAAGGAGCCUUCUGGAGCUUUGCUGAAGACUCAUGAAGAAUUGGAGCAUUAUGUUGUGACAAAGGCAAAAGAGGCUGUGCUGACCUUUAUGAAAGAAGAGAUCCAUGGGGAAAUGUUUAUUUAUGACAGACAGGAAGCUAUCCAAUUCAACCAUUAAAGCAGACCAUUUGAACAAGACUGUGCAUUCUGGAUAUCAAUCACCUAGGCUGUAGGUGAGCAGGCAUGUUUUGCACCUGAAGAAGGCUGUUUGAGAUACCAGGUCAGAAUAAGUGAGUGAAGUCCAUAAAAACACCAAAAUAUCAAGUAAGUGAUAUUGUAUUCUGUUCUCUUUUUCUUCCAGGACAUUUGGUUCAAUCUACCCAAAAUAGUUAAACACUCCCUUGGAAAGCAUUAUCAGCAUUGGAAUCAUAAUUCUAUCAUGAAAUUAUAGUAUUCGGAUUAGGAAACCUAAACAUUUUUUAAAAUUAAGAGGAAACUAGAUAUAAUGGAAUAAACAAAAGCUGUUAAACUAAUUGCAAACUGGAAUUUAUGUUUGACAGUAUGAAAAUUACAAGUGAAAUACAAUUAAUGACUGGAAUAGUAACAAUCUGAUUUUACUCACUAUGCAAAAUUUAAUUUCCUAUCUUGUAAAUAACAAACCUCAUAAACAAGCCAGCAGCUAGAUUGAUAUUAUUAAUCAGUUUUUAUUAAUAUGCUGGUGGUGAGUGAUGAGUAUUAAACAAUGAACAUAAAAAAUACAUAGAAUUGGAAAUGAAAAGGAUCUGUGCUUUCAAUACAAAUGAAGAAUAGUUUUUUUUCCUUAGCAGGGUAAAAAAGCCUUGUGGAGGUCACUGGAGAGGAGCUGCAUCUCAGUCAGCUCUGGCAGUACUCCUGUAGCCAGUGUCAUGGUCUCUGCUACUCCAUUUGCAAAGCCUCUGCUGCUGCUUCUUCAGCUGUGCAAUGUUACCAGGGAGCCCCAAGGUGCCUCUGCACCCCGUCAGCAGGGCUGCUCUGUCACAGUGCUGUGUCCCUCUGCUGACUCACAACUGCCCUUGCCAAAAUUGUUCCACAAGGAACAAAUCCUAAGGGAAAAAAGUUUGAGUUUUCUUUGUUGAUUUGGGUAGUUUUUGUUUGUUUUGUUUUUUUUUUUUUUUUUUUUUUAAUCCAAGUCAAAUCGUCCCAACUUUGGACUCUGGUCAGAGUGAAAUUUCAGAAAGAAGCAUUUGGACUGGUUGCCUUUACAAAGCCAUCGUGACAGUGGAAUCAUGGAAAGGUUGAGAAAGAACCUCAAGAUCACUGAAUUUAACCAUUAACCCAGCACUGCCAAGUCCAGCACUGCAGCAUGUCCCUAAGUGCCAUGUCUACACAUCUUUUAAAUACCUCCAGGGGUAGUAAUAUCAUUGCACAGCCAAUUGAGACAUCACCUGAAAUACUACUUCAGUAACUGUUAUCUAUACUAGUCACUGAUGUGUACUAUAAAGAAUAUGGGUUUCUGUGAUUAUGAUUAAAUUGAUUUUCACACAUCAAUAUUCAGAUAGUCUCUGAAAUCUCAUGUUUAUUUCUAAUUAUAUGUUUGAUAAAGUGGUUGGUUUCUUUUCUCUGCUUUGGACUUUUGACAUGUUUUAAGAGGAAAUGCAUCACCAAGAUUUACCAUACUGGAGCCUUGAAGGACCAAAUACUAUUUGUGGGACACACAAUUAUGGUAUUACCAGAAGAGAUACUAUUUAUGUUUUCCACAUGCUACUAAAAAUCUUCUCAACAAAACUUAUUGUCAUUGGACAAGCAAAUGGCCUUAGCUUUUCUGACAGCUCUCCUUCUAGAAUGGCAUUAUAAAUUUAAGAUAUUGUAAUACAACCUCUUGUUGCUUUUAACCUAAAAGCAACAAGGGGUUGCAAGAAAAAGGCUGCAAGCCCACAAAAAAAAAAAUCUCCAUAGACUGAUGCCUUUCAUUAUCAGGAAAAGCUGACUUAAGUGUGAAUUCUUUAUUAAUACUUCACAGAAUCACAGAAUCAUUCAAGUAAUUUUGGAGCAUUUCACGGUGUUUCACCCAUUUUGUUUGGAACCCCUAAUCCUGAUCAGUCAAUAUAUAUGAACUUCAGUCCAAGCCACCUUCACCAAAAGGCCAUUUAAUCAUUUUAUUCUAUUAAAUAUAAUUUUAAGAAAAUCAUACACUCCCUAUAGCAUACUUCCAUGUAAACAAAGCCCUAAUAAAAUAGAGAGAGGGAGAACAAAGGCAUCUGGGAAGGUUCAGGAUGCAGAGUUGAUCUGCUUUCUGGUGCCUAAGGCCUGGCUGCUCUCUUGUGUAACUGAUUGUAUGAACUCCUGAGCUAAAUGUAGAGCCUGACUACACUUAAUGAACCUUAGAGUGCAAUCAAAAAGACAAAUAUUAUGUGUCUGAAAAUAUGAGGAUUUCUUCUUCUUUCAAGAGCUUUGAGGACUCUUGCAGUCUUCAGAGUCCUCUUCUUCAUCUUGAUAAAAGCCCUGUUGUAUCCAGCAGUGUUUGCCACAGAAACUGUGUUCCAAACUAAUAUUGAAACCACAAAGGUCUGAGGAAUCACCCUGUUUUAUUUUUUACAUUGACCAGUGUCUCUGCUAUGGCAUCACUGAGGGAAAAGGAAACAAUAUUCUAAAGACAUUAACAUAGGUUAGUUUAACUUAAUCUCUGGCUUCAGCCUACAGUACUUGUCAGAAAAAUAUAUUAAUAUGGGACUUUACUGUUCUCAGAGUAGCCUUUGUCAGGAGUUUGAAAUGUUUGAAACAGGAUAAUUAAAAAAUCCUUAAAAGCGUACUUCAGUGUUCUGAUCUUUCUUCAUUUUUUAGAGCUUUUCUGAAAAAAAAAAAAAAAAUCAGCGUCCCCUUCUGAAAAAGAGCUGAGAAACCAUUCACAUUAAACCAUAUUUCUUCUC